rnacentral:lncRNA from 1 species
UGCCAGUGCAAAGUAACAGUCCUUUGUUGCUAGAGCAUGUUGCUAGGAAACAAAGGAACCAGUGUUGGCUGACAAGAUGCCUUCAUGGGGCCAAUGCAUGGUUUUCACCACUGUUGGCGAAGAGUAGCCUUGCCAUGGCAGGAACCAGUGCCCCAAAGUCUUCUGAGAGCUCUACAGGUCAGGAAAGGGGAGCCUUGCCCAGAUGGAAAACUCUUGCUUCCCCAUAUAAAACAAGGCAUGAGGCACACAACUGAACAGAAGGAAACACAUGUGAGUGAGCAGCUUAGGGACUUCUGAGCCUCUAUCUUUGGAGAAGCUUCUCCUGGAUGCAUGCAUCGCCUCUGUCAGGAGAUCACAAAAACAAUUCAUCUUAUCAAAACUGAAAUGAGGACACCUCAAAAUUUAUCAAGAGAUGGGCUUUUACCAAGGGAUGUCAGUGCCAGUGGAAGAACCCAAGCCUACUGGAGGGCCAUAAAUACGACUGCUGUUGCCAUUUUGCUUACCCAGGUGAACUCCAGUUACAUGUCUACCUGCCAUGACAAAGAUCAUUGAACUUUGGAUUUUAGUCAAUUGUAGAUAACAGCACCACAUGACCAGAAUGAUUCAAUUCUCAGAGGCUUAUCUAAGGAUGAUAAACUAUGGAUUCAAAGACUGAUCAAUAAUGUCCCAGUAAGGUGGACAUCCCAUUAGACAGACAUCUCUAUUAAGAUAUAGAUAAAGUCAUGGCAUCCAACGUAAUGACAGAAAUUAAAAGGAAAGUCACCCAGUUUACAUACCUGGUAGCUAAAACUUGAAA